rnacentral:rRNA from 1 species
GAUGAACGCUGGCGGCGUGCCUCAAACAUGCAAGUCGAGCGGGGCUAUGUAAUACCGCAAGGUAGAACAUAGCCUAGCGGCGAACGGGUGAGUAACACGUGGGUAACCUGCCUGGAAGACAGGGAUAACGAUUCGAAAGGGUCGCUAAUACCUGAUAAUAUCCUUUCAUCGCAUGGUGAUAGGAAGAAAGGGGAAACCCGCUUUCAGAUGGGCCCGCGUCCCAUCAGCUAGUUGGUAAGGUAAAGGCUUACCAAGGCGACGACGGGUAGCCGGUCUGAGAGGGUGUACGGCCACACUGGGACUGAGACACGGCCCAGACUCCUACGGGAGGCAGCAGUGGGGAAUAUUGCGCAAUGGGGGAAACCCUGACGCAGCGACGCCGCGUGAGCGAAGAAGGCCUUCGGGUUGUAAAGCUCUGUUGUAAGGGACGAAGGAUUGGGGUAGUAACUGACCCCAAGGUGACGGUACCUUACGAGGAAGCCCCGGCUAACUACGUG